GAUAAACGCUGGCGGCGUGCCUAAUACAUGCAAGUCGAGCGAACGGACGAGAAGCUUGCUUCUCUGAUGUUAGCGGCGGACGGGUGAGUAACACGUGGAUAACCUACCUAUAAGACUGGGAUAACUUCGGGAAACCGGAGCUAAUACCGGAUAAUAUUUUGAACCGCAUGGUUCAAAAGUGAAAGACGGUCUUGCUGUCACUUAUAGAUGGAUCCGCGCUGCAUUAGCUAGUUGGUAAGGUAACGGCUUACCAAGGCAACGAUGCAUAGCCGACCUGAGAGGGUGAUCGGCCACACUGGAACUGAGACACGGUCCAGACUCCUACGGGAGGCAGCAGUAGGGAAUCUUCCGCAAUGGGCGAAAGCCUGACGGAGCAACGCCGCGUGAGUGAUGAAGGUCUUCGGAUCGUAAAACUCUGUUAUUAGGGAAGAACAUAUGUGUAAGUAACUGUGCACAUCUUGACGGUACCUAAUCAGAAAGCCACGGCUAACUACGUGCCAGCAGCCGCGGUAAUACGUAGGUGGCAAGCGUUAUCCGGAAUUAUUGGGCGUAAAGCGCGCGUAGGCGGUUUUUUAAGUCUGAUGUGAAAGCCCACGGCUCAACCGUGGAGGGUCAUUGGAAACUGGNAAACUUGAGUGCAGAAGAGGAAAGUGGAAUUCCAUGUGUAGCGGUGAAAUGCGCAGAGAUAUGGAGGAACACCAGUGGCGAAGGCGACUUUCUGGUCUGUAACUGACGCUGAUGUGCGAAAGCGUGGGAUCAAAACAGGAUUAGAUACCCUGGUAGUCCACGCCGUAAACGAUGAGUGCUAAGUGUUAGGGGGUUUCCGCCCCUUAGUGCUGCAGCUAACGCAUUAAGCACUCCGCCUGGGGAGUACGACCGCAAGGUUGAAACUCAAAGGAAUUGACGGGGACCCGCACAAGCGGUGGAGCAUGUGGUUUAAUUCGAAGCAACGCGAAGAACCUUACCAAAUCUUGACAUCCUUUGACAACUCUAGAGAUAGAGCCUUCCCCUUCGGGGGACAAAGUGACAGGUGGUGCAUGGUUGUCGUCAGCUCGUGUCGUGAGAUGUUGGGUUAAGUCCCGCAACGAGCGCAACCCUUAAGCUUAGUUGCCAUCACUAAGUUGGGCACUCUAAGUUGACUGCCGGUGACAAACCGGAGGAAGGUGGGGAUGACGUCAAAUCAUCAUGCCCCUUAUGAUUUGGGCUACACACGUGCUACAAUGGACAAUACAAAGGGCAGCGAAACCGCGAGGUCAAGCAAAUCCCAUAAAGUUGUUCUCAGUUCGGAUUGUAGUCUGCAACUCGACUACAUGAAGCUGGAAUCGCUAGUAAUCGUAGAUCUGCAUGCUACGGUGAAUACGUUCCCGGGUCU
rnacentral:rRNA from 1 species